GGCUCAUGAGAGCAAAGCAGCACUGCUGGCAGAGCCGCGGCCUCCCCACAGCUGGGUUACCUGCGUCCGGGCUGUGACAGGCGAUGUCCUUUGUGGUGACCUGGCUGCUCUGGUUGGUGGCAGUGAGGGUGCUGGGUGCUGCUGUUGUUGUGCCUGGAAGGAGAAAUGGAUGAAUACAGCACUAUAUAUUCAGUCCAUCUUCUGCCACCCCUGCCAGGAUACAGGCAACACAGGGGGAAUUUGCAGGUCCAAUUUUGAAAAGUGAUACAGUGAAACACUGCCAAGCAUGGAAAUAGAAGGCUUAGGGAUCCUAAAUCACUGGCAGCACAUACCGAGAUCUUUCUUAUUAGGAACAGUGUCUUGACAGACCUGGGAACCUUUUCUUUCCACAGUCCAACCUCCACCUCAGGUGUGAGUUACUUUUUGAGCUGCUGUAAACAUACAGAGGCUGUCAGGGGAUUCAGGAUUAAUGUGAGGUGAGGAAAAGGAGGUGGUGGUUGUGGACUUUGUAACUGUCAUCCC
rnacentral:lncRNA from 1 species